rnacentral:rRNA from 1 species
UACGAAGGGGGCUAGCGUUGUUCGGAUUUACUGGGCGUAAAGCGCGUGUAGGCGGGUCGGUAAGUUGGGGGUGAAAUCCCGAGGCUCAACCUCGGAACUGCCUUCAAAACUGGCGACCUGGAGCAAAGAAGAGGCGAGUGGAAUUGCGAGUGUAGAGGUGAAAUUCGUAGAUAUUCGCAGGAACACCAGUGGCGAAGGCGACUCGCUGGUCUUUUGCUGACGCUGAGACGCGAAAGCGUGGGGAGCAAACAGG